AGGAUCUUCCCAAAACAAACUAGGCGACUGACUAGAUCAGUACUUCUCCCUCCCGCUUCGAGAAAACGUAACAAACUGAACCAGUCCCCGGCAGCGUAGUGAGAGGAAUACGACGUCGCAAUCCAGCCAUGGAAGCGCUACCUAUCCCGACGGACACGUACAAACUAGGGUUUAUCGGAGCAGGUAAAAUGGCUGAGAGCAUCGCCAGAGGAAUCGUCCGAUCGGGGGUUCUCCCUCCCAAUCGCAUCUCCACCUUCCACCCUGACCCCAGUCGUCGCCAAGCUUUCGAGUCCUUCGGAGUCCAUCUCCUCUCCGAAAACGACGACGUCUGAACCCCCCUCCCCCCCCCCUCCCUCUCUCUCCCAUUUUCCCUGCUUUUACACGCCUCUGUAUCUAAUUGAAUGACUGAAGUUGCAUCGUCAUUUUCUCUGUCAAACCUCAAGUUGUUAAAGAUGUAGUUUUGCGGUUGAGGCCGCUUCUUUCCAGAAAGAAGCUGCUUGUUUGAAUUGCUGCUGGAGUCAAAUUGAAAGAUCUGCAGGUCUCUCACUUGCAACUCGUCUUACUUUUAUCCACAUUGACUGUAUGGAUUGCCAAAAACCCUGUAUUUCAUUUUUGAACCUCUUGUUUCCAAUUUAAUUUGUUGAUUUUGAUUGUUUGGUGUUCGGGUUUCUGAGGAAAAUCAUGUUCUGAAUC